UACGAGGGGGGCGAGCGUUGUUCGGAAUUACUGGGCGUAAAGGGCGCGCAGGCGGCCUUUCAAGUCAGGCGUGAAAGCCCCGGGCUUAACCUGGGAAUUGCGCUUGGGACUGUGAGGCUUGAGUUCGGGAGAGGAGAGUGGAAUUCCCAGUGUAGAGGUGAAAUUCGUAGAUAUUGGGAAGAACACCGGUGGCGAAGGCGGCUCUCUGGACCGAUACUGACGCUGAGGCGCGAAAGCGUGGGGAGCAAACAGG
rnacentral:rRNA from 1 species